rnacentral:sRNA from 1 species
GUUUGCACUUAUCGGGGAAGGGUGAGAACCUUCGAUUAAGGUUCGACUCGAGCGAAAGCGAGAGAACGUUGCCAACGGCAACGGCCCGUAGGGUGAGGAGCGAAGCGACGAAUAAUCCUUCCACCACCAUCA